rnacentral:rRNA from 1 species
AUGGGCCAUGUGGAAGAAACAUCGAUUGAUGAAGUAGGCUUUCCUGUCUACAGGCGUCCAAAUAAUGGCCGUUUUAUCAUGAAAAACAAGACUAGGCUUGAUAAUGGGCACGUUGUGCCUUAUAACAUGGCAAUGCUAAAGAAAUAUCAAGCUCAUUUAAAUGUUGAGUGGUGUAACAAAACACAUGUCUUAAAAUAUCUGUAUAAGUAUGUUACCAAGGGCCCUGACAUGUCAAAAACUCUGUUUGAUAGGAUAAAAAAUUCUGAGGAUCCAAAUGAUAAUGGGGUGGAUGAAAUUGAAGAGUAUAGAGCGUGUCGAUACGUAUGUGCCCAUGAUUCAUUUUGGAGGUGUUAUGGGUAUGACAUACACAGUAAAGAACCUUCUGUAGAAAGACUUGUUGUUCAUUUACCAAAUAAACAUAUUGUGCGAUUUCGUGCAAGGGCCAACCUUAAGGCCAUUGUUAACAAUUCUUUGCUGCACAAAACCAUGUUAACAGAAUGGUUUGUUGCUAAUGCUAGAUACAAAAGUGCCAGGUCUUUAACAUAA